UGUCUAAAACUUCUUCAUGGUAGAGCAUAAGACUCUUCAUCUCAGGGUUGUGGGUUCAAGCCCCAUGUUAGGCAA